rnacentral:lncRNA from 1 species
AAAUGUGGCUAGUGUGACUGAGGAACUGGCUAUUAUUUCAUUUUAAGUAGAAAUUUACAUUUAUCAAGCUACAGGUGGCUAGCGGCUACCAUACUGGACAGCAGAGGUCAAGCACAUGAGGAAGACUGGACUUGGCUUGGCAUUGAUGCAACUGUGUGACCUUGGGCAAGUCAUGCCACUCCUCUGCGCUCGCGGUUGCCUCUUCUGUAAAAUACGGGCUGUUGGUAAAACGAAGCCCGCACAUGUUCAUAUAAUUAUUUAGUGUUUAUCGAGCGUGAGGCUGAACUCUGGCCUCUGUACCCUGACACAGAAUUGAAUCUCACAGACAGAGUUUUGGGUGAAGGCAAAAAGGAGAACUUAAUUGCUUUGCCAGGCAAAGGGGACCACAGCGGACUAAUGCCGCCAAGACUGUGUGUCCCAACCUGGAGAAGGUAGUAGGGAGUCUUCUAGUAACAGUUCAAGGUCUUAUAAGGACGGAGAGUGUGAUCAGCUCGUGGCGUGGUUGGUGGUGAGGCCAUGGGAGUUGGCAUCAUCACCCUUCUGGUUCCACCUGCUCAGGGGUCUCUGUGUUUGUGGGCAGCACACAGUUAACGUCUUCCAUCUGGUGGGGGUUUCGCCAUCUGCAAAACAGCUCAAAGGACAUGACCGAGAAUAUUAUCUACGGUCCUUGAGAAGAACUAAAGGUCCUUGACUUUUAGUGGCGAAAGUAUUAUUAUUUCAUCUUGCUUGGCUCUUUUCCUUUCUGUAUUUUCUCAUUUCUCUGAUUAAAUUUAUUCUUUGACUAAAGUUGUUCUGCAGACAAUAGGGUGGCGAGGGCAUGGCUGGGGGUCCAUUCUGGGAAGGCCCCAUAGGGUGCUCAGUGAGUAUUAGAUGCCAGCUCUCCAGACUCUUAAGCUGCCUCCUAUGAGGUGAGAAAAUGCGCCCAGCAGGGACCGGAAGUCAUUGAUCUUCGUAUCCCAAAUGUCUGGCUCAACAGCCUGGCACAAAGUAUGUAUUCAGUAACUGUCUCAUGGACAUAUUACGGAAUGCAUUACUUUGAUUAAUUUAUUAGUCCUCGUGCCUGCCAAUGAGGACUUUAAUUCAUUUGAUCCAGGGUACACGGGAUGGGAGUAACGGGAGUUGGCCACCUACUCCUCCUUCAAAGUUAAGAAGCAUCUGGUGUUCCUGUUGUGGCUGAGUGGGAAUGAACCCAAAUAGAAUCCAUGAGGACAUGGGUUCGAUCCCUGGCCUUGUGAAAUGGGUCAAGGAUCUGGCGUAGGUCGCAGAUGAGGCUCGGAUUCUGUGUUGGCUGCAGCUGUGGUGUGGCUGUGGUGUAGCCUGAGAACCUUCAUAUGCUGCGGGUAUGACCCUAAAAAGACAAAAACACAAAACCAAGUUAGGAAGCAUUGUCCUUUUCCAGGCCUGGCUGGCUGGAAGCAGGUCAGUCCCCCACACUCAUGCCAGACCUGUGAGAAGACAGAGGCCAGGCUGACGGGGGCAGGAAAUGGUGGGUGGAGCUGGAUUCACAACUUGACUCAGCCUCCUGAGAACUCAGCCCAGAAGCCAGGAGUGCUCCCUCGGGGGACAAUGAGAAGGUCUAUUGGGAGAGAGAUGAGGAGAGGGAACCAGUGACCAUUUACCCAAAGAGCAAAGCCAUCUGGCUGCAUCGGCCUCAAAGACAGUAUAGCUCAGUGAAUGUCCCAUUUGUUGUCACAAACCUGUGUCGAGAACACAUAUUUGGUACUUUGAAAGCCCAUCUGCCCCCCCCCCUGGCCCCCUGAGCGGGUACCCCUCGAGGCAGACUCUGAAUCCUGUCUGCAUCCUUAGUGACUGGCAACGCAGGGAUUGGGCGGAUGGGUGUAGAGCAGACAACAGCCCACCCCUGCCUCUAGGGCUCAUCAUCUUUCAGAGGAGACAGACACCCACCUAAAUGACAGGCACAGAUUCCAGCGCUCUGAGCUCUCCAGCAGAUAGGCAGACACCGGGCCGGCUGGGGAAGUGAGGGGAGAUGGGGAGAUGGGGCAACAGACUGCAGGUGGGAGGGAGAAGGGAUCUGAGGAAGCUCCUGGAGGAUUUAAGUCUGUCUUCCAAGAAGGGAGGGAAGCGUGGCUGAGAGAGAACGGGUGUGUACAAAGGCUUAGACGUGAGAGAGGACCGGUGGGCAGGGCAGACGGGCCUUGUGCAUGACGUCUUUGAGAAAAGAGGGUGGAGAUGAGACGGGAAACAACAGGUAUCAGGAUGUGAAGGGCAAGGGUAUUGACAUCUUAGAGUCCUGAGCUGCUCAGAUUCCGGAGUCCUAGGAAUCACCGGGGGACCUAAUUGCAGAUUCGGACUGAGUCGGUCUGAGGCGGAGCCUGAGAUUCUGAUUUCUAACAAACUCCAGCUAAUGCUGGUGCCACUAGUCUGUGGCUCAAAGCUACUUUGAACAGCAAUGGUUUAGGCAAUAGGGAGCCAUUGAAUGUUGUGAGUAGGGACAUGCUUAUAGUCUGAUUGGCUUCUUAGAAGAAUUACCCUAAAAGCUGUGAGCUGGCUUCAGCUGGGUAGAUGUAUUCAGACAGGGUGAGAGAUUUAUCUUUUUCUGUAUCUCCAACACCUAGGAUGGUGUCUGCUCAUAUCAGGUAAUCGAUACUCAUAUGUAAAGAAAUAAAUUAGCCAUUUAUGGUAGACUUUUAAGAGAGAAGACAGGAAGAAUAGAUGGAUCAAGUUAUCCCAGGCUGAUCAACCAAUUUAAAACACUCCUCAGGGCAACAGAUUGGGAAUAUGUGUUAAGGCAGAGGUUUCUUAAGUAGUUUUUGGCCAAGGGUCUGAUUGCUUAAAUAAAACCCUAAAUGGAGGCCCGAUGUGUGAAUCAAAUUGAAAAACAAUUAGGUGCCCUGGUGGGUACCAGGGUGGGGGCCCUGGAUCUGACACCCUACGCCUUCCCCUUUCUCCCGCUGACCUGCAGAUUCCCGCUGCAUCCUCAGACUCUGGAAAAUAUCAGGUGCCCCAAGAAGCCAGCCCAGCACCUCCCCUGCCCCAGGUUGGGUGAGGCCGCCCUUCUGCAAGAUUUUGCACGGGGGUUAUCUGUUUCUAGCUCAGUUUCCCCUGCUAUAGGGUGCAGUACUGCUAGAAAAGACCCUGAAAGACCACUUGAGAAUCCUCAUGGUUAGCACGGGGUCCUGGUCAGAGGAGGCACUUGGGGAAAGAUGAUGGGCAGGAGCAGACAGGUGACCCAGCAGGACCCACAGAAAGGGCUUGAGUUCCCAGUGCCCCAGACACAUAACUCUGUCCAUUCCAGGCAGCAAAAGUAGUGUGGGGAGCAGAGAUGUGGCGGAUGGAAUUGAGAUUUUAUUUUUUUAUGUUUUUUGCCUUUUGUCUUUUUUUUAGGGUCGAACC